rnacentral:rRNA from 1 species
UAGAGGAAGUAAAAGUCGUAACAAGGUUUCCGUAGGUGAACCUGCGGAAGGAUCAUUAAAAAUGAAAAACGAAUAACUUCAGGGAAGAAGGGAACCUGCACGGUGACCUCCCCUGUCGGGCCACCCAAUACCUUCAAAAUGCCGCCGUCCUAGCGGUGGCAGACGAAAAAAAAAACAAGAAAAACAAAAUAGAAACAGGUACGGUGGCCCGUUCACCUUCACACAACCCUCCGAGUACCGCUUCCAUGUUGCUUCCCCGCAAAUCCACCUCUUUGGUGAGCACGGGGGAGGUCCGCAUCAAAUUCACCUGAAUGUCACAGCAGUCAGACAGCCAUUCAUGGAAACAAUAAAACUUUCAACAACGGAUCUCUUGGUUCCCGCAUCGAUGAAGAACGCAGCGAAAUGCGAUAAGUAAUGUGAAUUGCAGAAUUCAGUGAAUCAUCGAAUCGUUGAACGCACAUUGCGCCCUCUGGUAUUCCGGGGGGCAUGCCUGUUCGAGCCUCAAUGAAAAAUCUCCUCCGAUGCUGGUGUCUUCCGGCACAUGGGGGGUUCUGGCGGAUGCCCACACCCUCAACUGUGUGCGCGCUGCCCAAAUCCGAUGUCCGCGAGCCUGAGGAUUGCAGCCGAUGUAGUGAGAUUCAAUCUCGUUGUCUGUAAAACCUGACAGAGGCAAUGGGACCUUAAGCGCUACGGCGCCAACAUCAAGACGGUUGAGCUCGGAUCAGGUAGGGAUACCCGCUGAACUUAAGCAUAUCA